rnacentral:lncRNA from 1 species
UGUUUUGCCACGUUGCUAGAACUCGCUGAAUCCGAGUAGAAAGCAAGUGUCCUUCCUAAUGCAGCGCCUGUUCCUGAUGGAACACUGAGCCACUGUGCUUGAGGUUACAUCCAUUGAGCCCCUGGGGGGACUACAGAGGCACUGGAGAGGCAGUUCCUGUGUUUAGGCAGUUCACAGGCCUAUGACGUGCUCACGAGAAGACGAACCAGGCUCUGACUGGGAGUGACAGAAGCCAGCCUCUAACUUCGCUGACCUACUUCCCGGCUGCCUCUCCAGCCAGCACCCCACGCAGCAUCCAUUUUAACCAGCUUUUCAAGGUCGGGACUCUUCAAUGCAGAGGCUGGCUUUUGCUUGACACAAAGCCAGGACUUUCAUCCACUGUGCAUUGGGGAAAAGGAAAAUACCAAGCUCUUUUCAGUGCACCAUUGUGA